rnacentral:lncRNA from 1 species
AAGAAAAUGUGGCACAUAUACACCAUGGAAUACUAUGCAGCCAUAAAAAAUGAUGAGUUCAUGUCCUUUGUAGGGACAUGGAUGAAGCUGGAAACCAUCAUUCUCAGCAAACUAUCGCAAGGACAAAAAAACCAAACACCGCAUGUUCUCACUCAUAGGGUAUGUUUGCAGGUUUGUUACAUGGGUAUAUUGCAAGAUGCCGAGGUUCGAGGUAGGAAAGAUCCCAACAACCAGUUUCAAGGGCCCUAGCCUCAGAAAACUGCAUCAAUGUCUUCUGAACGGCCAUCAAGCUCAAAGCCCUGCUCGUUUCUUCAGGAAAGCUUAUUAACAAAUACAUUCAGCACAGCUUGCAGGAAGCAGCAAGUUUCAUGUAGAGUACCACGGCGUCAUCAUGCAAGUGUCUGUCUGAGCAUGGCCAGUAAGAGAACUGGUGGUUUCGGUCCAUGAAAGAGCUGGGGUUCCUGGAAGUUUUUGGAAUGCCUGGCCACGACAUUGGUUGGAGUCUGACUGGGCCCCAUGCAGAAAAUGCCACACUCUGCUGAGCUGACAUCUUUGUGUUCUGCUAGGAGGCCCAGGAAUUCAUAAAAGAAAAGAACUAAGGCACUUGAAAAUUUCGAAGCAGGCUCUCGUGCAAUGCUGAUAUGUUGAAGCCUCCAUGUGAUCAAGCCUCAGCCACAUUUUUAUGGAAGCCGAGCACCAGGGAGGCCCUUCUAGGAAGGAGCUUCAUUCCCAUCGGAAAGGUUGGCCAUGGCACCAGCCUCACACUGGUUGGAAAGGGCUCAUUGAGGAAUCUUUCCAGAGUGUUUCAUGACUUAACGUUUCACGGCUGGCUCUGCACAACCUGCGAAUAAACAAAAACUAAAACAAAAAAACUACAGUGUCGUAGUGACUAAUUAGGUAAAUACAACACUUUCAUUUCAUAGAAACUCAAGACAUCUGCAAUUUGGAGGUAGCAAUAUGGUCAUUUUUAUUCAAAUCCUGUUUUGUUUUCAUGAAAUAAAAAUUGCAAUGCUGAUUUUCACAUCUGGGCAGUUGGGUGUCAACAAAUCGAGAACAAACUGUCAACCAAGUAAACAAUAGAACUUUCAAUUCUGAAAACUGAUUUUGAUGAAGAGUAAUUUCUUAAAGAAGGAUGAUCACUCCAAAAAUUUCCUGAUUAUGUUCUGAAAUCUUUCAGUAAAAAUCAUUAACA